CCUACGGGAGGCAGCAGUGGGGAAUAUUGGGCAAUGGGCGCAAGCCUGACCCAGCAACGCCGCGUGAAGGAAGAAGGCUUUCGGGUUGUAAACUUCUUUUCUCAGGGACGAAGAAAGUGACGGUACCUGAGGAAUAAGCCACGGCUAACUACGUGCCAGCAGCCGCGGUAAUACGUAGGUGGCAAGCGUUAUCCGGAUUUAUUGGGUGUAAAGGGCGUGUAGGCGGGAGUGCAAGUCAGAUGUGAAAACUCAGGGCUCAACCCUGAGCCUGCAUUUGAAACUGUGUUUCUUGAGUGCUGGAGAGGCAAUCGGAAUUCCGGGUGUAGCGGUGAAAUGCGUAGAUAUACGGAGGAACACCAGUGGCGAAGGCGGCCUACUAAACUGCCACUGACAUUGAUGCUCGAAAGUGUGGGUAUCAAACAGGAUUAGAUACCCUAGUAGUC
rnacentral:rRNA from 1 species